rnacentral:rRNA from 1 species
AAAUUGAAGAGUUUGAUCAUGGCUCAGAUUGAACGCUGGCGGCGGCCUAACACAUGCAAGUCGAACGGUAACAGGAAGAAGCUUGCUUCUUUGCUGACGAGUGGCGGACGGGUGAGUAAUGUCUGGGAAACUGCCUGAUGGAGGGGGAUAACUACUGGAAACGGUAGCUAAUACCGCAUAACGUCGCAAGCCAAAGAGGGGGACCUUCGGCCCUCUUGCCAUCGGAUGUGCCCAGAUGGGAUUAGCUAGUAGGUGGGGUAACGGCUCACCUAGGCGACGAUCCCUAGCUGGUCUGAGAGGAUGACCAGCCACACUGGAACUGAGACACGGUCCAGACUCCUACGGGAGGCAGCAGUGGGGAAUAUUGCACAAUGGGCGCAAGCUGAUGCAGCCAUGCCGCGUGUAUGAAGAAGGCUUCGGGUUGUAAAGUACUUUCAGCGGGGAGGAAGGGAGUAAAGUUAAUACCUUUGCUCAUUGACGUUACCCGCAGAAGAAGCACCGGCUAACUCCGUGCCAGCAGCCGCGGUAAUACGGAGGGUGCAAGCGUUAAUCGGAAUUACUGGGCGUAAAGCGCACGCAGGCGGUUUGUUAAGUCAGAUGUGAAAUCCCCGGGCUCAACCUGGGAACUGCAUCUGAUACUGGCAAGCUUGAGUCUCGUAGAGGGGGGUAGAAUUC